GACGAACGCUGGCGGCGUGCUUAACACAUGCAAGUCGAACGAAGAGCGAUGGAGGCUUGCUUCUAUCAAUCUUAGUGGCGAACGGGUGAGUAACGCGUAAUCAACCUGCCCUUCAGAGGGGGACAACAGUUGGAAACGACUGCUAAUACCGCAUACGAUCUAAUCUCGGCAUCGAGGAUAGAUGAAAGGUGGCCUCUACAUGUAAGCUAUCAUUGAAGGAGGGGAUUGCGUCUGAUUAGCUAGUUGGAGGGGUAACGGCCCACCAAGGCGAUGAUCAGUAGCCGGUCUGAGAGGAUGAACGGCCACAUUGGGACUGAGACACGGCCCAGACUCCUACGGGAGGCAGCAGUGGGGAAUCUUCCGCAAUGGACGAAAGUCUGACGGAGCAACGCCGCGUGAGUGAUGACGGCCUUCGGGUUGUAAAGCUCUGUUAAUCGGGACGAAAGGCCUUCUUGCGAAUAGUGAGAAGGAUUGACGGUACCGGAAUAGAAAGCCACGGCUAACUACGUG
rnacentral:rRNA from 1 species